CCGACCCCUUCCUUGGAAGGCUACUCGGCAUUUUAGUUUUACGAAGAUUCCAUGGUACUCUACUCGAGCUCUCAAAGGACGAGGGAUUAAUCACAACCUUAAACAAUUCAACUUUGCUCAUGGAAGCUUACAUAUUAUAGUUGUGGAUACAGGAUUGUAUUUGGUUACUUCAAAUGGUGCUGGAGAUAGGCAAUCACAAUUGCUGAAGGACGCACUUGAAAACAGUGAAAGCAAAUGGUACAUUCAAGCUACAUUAUUUUUCUUCAAACAAAAAUAUGAUAAUGCAUUUUGUCACCUGACCUCCUUAUGUGACUAAAGUGAUAUCGUGUAAAUAUUGGUACAUUGCUGUCGGAAUUCAUCCAUUGGUAGCUUGCGAAGAAGAUACUACUCUAACGGAACAAAAUCACAAAUUACAAUCUUUACAUGGCGUAUUCCUGAUAUACGGAGUGGUAAGUCAAAGUAUUAAUGCUAAUAGUCCAUAUCUCCAAGAACGUGAGGAAUACCUAAUACCAGACACCAUUUUCAUCUGCAAAUCUUUUUCUCAAUAUCCAAAAAAUCUAAACACAGCGCAAGGGCUCUAAUUUUGUAGUAAGAGCGCAACACAUGGUGUACAUUAGGUGAACGCCACAGGUUCGAAUUUUUCUGAAGAUAAACGCUCGGAUUUUAUGGGAAAAAGGGUAGAGGGACGGGCACAUUAUCUAAUGAGGUUCGAGCCAUGCGCCACUGACCAUUGGGAAUUUCUUGUUUAUAAAAGAAAUUUAAUUAACCUAUAUUGUUCUUGUUUUGCUUUUCCUAUUUAGGAUGCAUAUAUAAGUGGACAGGCUUGUGCUGAUAAUACUGAGAAAAGGCCUAUUGCAAAAUCCAAAACUGGAACUGUCAGAUAUAAAGGACCUUUGCUGGCUGAAGUGAAUCAGAACUUGCCCUACUCUAUGCAAAAUAUAACUAGAUUCCUACUUCACGAAGUCGGUGCUCUAGAGAUUGUAUCCUACUUAGUCACCUUGGAAGGUAAUGUUGUGCAGAAAAUUUUCUUCUAUGAAAGAGGCAAAGAGAUUAUGUAGAUAUACCGUGAAUAUUGAUGUUUGUAUUUGUUAUUGUCAUGAGAAGGAGUGAAUAGAGAUCCAAUCAAUUAUUGGUGAUGAA